ensembl:lncRNA
GUUAGUUUGGUCUGUGUUAGGGUCAGUUUGGUCUGUGUGAGGGUCAGUUUGGUCUGUUGUGGGGGUCAGUUUGGUCUGUUGUGGGGGUAAGUUUGGUCUGUUGCGAGGGUCAGUUUGGUCUGUUGUGAGGGUCAGUUUGGUCUGUUGUGAGGGUCAGUUUGGUCUGUUGUGAGGGUCAGUUUGGUCUGUUGUGAGGGUCAGUUUGGUCUGUUGUGAGGGUCAGUUGUGACAGUUAGUUUGGUCAGUUGUGAGGGUUAGUUUGGUCAGUUGUGAGGGUUAGUUUGGUCUGUUGUGAGGGUCAGUUUGGUCUGUUGAGAGGGUCAUUU